rnacentral:rRNA from 1 species
GCAUUAGCUAGUUGGUAAGGUAACGGCUUACCAAGGCGAUGAUGCAUAGCCGAGUUGAGAGACUGAUCGGCCACAAUGGAACUGAGACACGGUCCAUACUCCUACGGGAGGCAGCAGUAGGGAAUCUUCCACAAUGGGCGCAAGCCUGAUGGAGCAACACCGCGUGAGUGAAGAAGGGUUUCGGCUCGUAAAGCUCUGUUGUUGGAGAAGAACGUGCGUGAGAGUAACUGUUCAUGCAGUGACGGUAUCCAACCAGAAAGUCACGGCUAACUACGUGCCAGCAGCCGCGGUAAUACGUAGGUGGCAAGCGUUAUCCGGAUUUAUUGGGCGUAAAGCGAGCGCAGGCGGUUGCUUAGGUCUGAUGUGAAAGCCUUCGGCUUAACCGAAGAAGUGCAUCGGAAACCGGGCGACUUGAGUGCAGAAGAGGACAGUGGAACUCCAUGUGUAGCGGUGGAAUGCGUAGAUAUAUGGAAGAACACCAGUGGCGAAGGCGGCUGUCUGGUCUGCAACUGACGCUGAGGCUCGAAAGCAUGGGUAGCGAACAGGAUUAGAUACCCUGGUAGUCCAUGCCGUAAACGAUGAGUGCUAGGUGUUGGAGGGUUUCCGCCCUUCAGUGCC